ensembl:snRNA U6 U6 spliceosomal RNA
GAUCAACAGUGCUCAUUUCAGUGAUACAGAGAAGAUUAGCAUGGCCCCUGCACAAGGAUAACAUACAGAUUCGUGAAGCAUUCCAUAUUUUU